rnacentral:rRNA from 1 species
CUAAUACAUGCAAGUCGAACGAGAGCGACCGGUGCUUGCACUGGUCAAUCUAGUGGCGAACGGGUGAGUAACACGUGGGUAACCUGCCCAUCAGAGGGGGAUAACAUUCGGAAACGGAUGCUAAAACCGCAUAGGUUCUAGAGUCGCAUGACUCAAGAAGGAAAAGAGGCUUCGGCUUCUGCUGAUGGAUGGACCCGCGGUGCAUUAGCUAGUUGGUGAGGUAACGGCUCACCAAGGCCGUGAUGCAUAGCCGACCUGAGAGGGUGAUCGGCCACAUUGGGACUGAGACACGGCCCAAACUCCUACGGGAGGCAGCAGUAGGGAAUCUUCCGCAAUGGACGCAAGUCUGACGGAGCAACGCCGCGUGAGUGAAGAAGGAUUUCGGUUCGUAAAACUCUGUUGUUAGAGAAGAACAGCGCAUAGAGUAACUGUUAUGCGUGUG